rnacentral:rRNA from 1 species
AUCUUGCGCAAUGGCCGAAAGGCUGACGCAGCGACGCCGCGUGCGGGAGGAAGCUCUUCGGGGUGUAAACCGCUGUCAGGGGGGACGAAGUGCAGGGGGAGGCAAUGCCCCUUGCUUGACGGUACCUCCAGAGGAAGCACCGGCUAACUCCGUGCCAGCAGCCGCGGUAAUACGGAGGGUGCGAGCGUUGUUCGGAAUUAUUGGGCGUAAAGCGCGCGUAGGCGGCCGUUUAAGUCUCGCUGUGAAAUCUGGGGGCUCAACCCUCACGACUGCAGGGGAUACUGGGCGGCUGGAGACAGGUAGAGGCGAGCGGAAUUCCGGGUGUAGCGGUGGAAUGCGUAGAGAUCCGGAAGAACACCAGAGGCGAAGGCGGCUCGCUGGACCUGGUCUGACGCUGAGGUGCGAAAGCGUGGGGAGCGAACAGG